AUUGAACGCUGGCGGCAGGCCUAACACAUGCAAGUCGAGCGAGCGACGGACGGGUGAGUACUGUAUGGGGACUGCCCGUUAGAAGGGGAUAACUACUGGAAACGGUAGCUAAUACCGCAUACUAUCGGCUACCCCAUAUGGGAUUAGCUAGUAGGUGAGGUAAUGGCUCACCUGGGCGACGAUCCCUAGCUGGUCUGAGAGGCUGAUCAGCCACAUGGGUACUGAGACACGGCCCAGACUCCUACGGAGGCAGCAUUGGGGAAUAUUGCACAAUGGGCGCAAGCCUGAUGCAGCCAUGCCGCGUGUAUGAAGAAGGCCCUAGGGUUGUAAAGUACUUUCAGUCGGGAGGCGUUACCGACAGAAGAAGCACCGGCUAACUCCGUGCCAGCCGCCGCGGUAAUUC
rnacentral:rRNA from 1 species